UAUGGCGACCGGCGCACGGGUGAGUAACGCGGUAUCCAACCUGCCCUUUACUAUGGGACAGCCCGUCGAAAGGCGGAUUAAUACCGUAUGUUGUCAUGUUGAUGCAUAUUUUCAUGACCAAAGGCUUCGGCCGGUAAAGGAUGGGGAUGCGUCUGAUUAGCUUGCCGGCGGGGUAACGGCCCACCGGGGCGACGAUCAGUAGGGGUUCUGAGAGGAAGGUCCCCCACAUUGGAACUGAGACACGGUCCAAACUCCUACGGAAGGCAGCAG
rnacentral:rRNA from 1 species